UUCCUCACUUUGGCAGCACAUAUACUAAAAUUGGAAUGAUACAGAGAAGAUCAGCCUGGCCCCUGCACAAGGAUGACACACAAAUGUGUGAAGCAUUCCACAUUUUU
rnacentral:snRNA from 1 species